AUUGCCCUAGUAACGGCGAGUGAAGCGGCAACAGCUCAAAUUUGAAAUCUGGCCCCCGGGUCCGAGUUGUAAUUUGCAGAGGAUGCUUUUGGUGAGGUGCCUUCCGAGUUCCCUGGAACGGGACGCCAUAGAGGGUGAGAGCCCCGUCUGGUUGGACACCGAGCCUCUGUAAAGCUCCUUCGACGAGUCGAGUAGUUUGGGAAUGCUGCUCUAAAUGGGAGGUAUAUGUCUUCUAAAGCUAAAUACCGGCCAGAGACCGAUAGCGCACAAGUAGAGUGAUCGAAAGAUGAAAAGCACUUUGAAAAGAGAGUUAAAAAGUACGUGAAAUUGUUGAAAGGGAAGCGCUCUUGACCAGACGUGGGCUUGGUUGAUCAUCCUGGGUUCUCCCGGGUGCACUCUUCCAGCUCAGGCCAGCAUCAGUUCGCCUUGGGGGAUAAAGGCUUCGGGAAUGUGGCUCCUCCGGGAGUGUUAUAGCCCGUUGCGCAAUACCCUGGGGCGGACUGAGGUUCGCGCAUCUGCAUGGAUGCUGGCGCAAUGGUCAUCAGCGACCCGUCUUGAAACACGGACCAAGGAGUCGUCUUCGUAUGCGAGUGUUCGGGUGUUAAACCCCUACGCGAAAUGAAAGUGAACGCAGGUGAGAGCUUCGGCGCAUCAUCGACCGAUCCUGAUGUUCUCGGAUGGAUUUGAGUAAGAGCAUACGGAGCCGGACCCGAAAGAAGGUGAACUAUGCCUGUAUAGGGUGAAGCCAGAGGAAACUCUGGUGGAGGCUCGCAGCGGUUCUGACGUGCAAAUCGAUCGUCAAAUAUGGGCAUGGGGGCGAAAGACUAAU
rnacentral:rRNA from 1 species